GACGAACGCUGGCGGCGUGCUUAACACAUGCAAGUCGAACGGAAAGGCCCUGCUUUUGUGGGGUGCUCGAGUGGCGAACGGGUGAGUAACACGUGAGUAACCUGCCCUUGACUUUGGGAUAACUUCAGGAAACUGGGGCUAAUACCGGAUAGGAGCUCCUGCUGCAUGGUGGUGGUUGGAAAGUUUCGGCGGUUGGGGAUGGACUCGCGGCUUAUCAGCUUGUUGGUGGGGUAGUGGCUUACCAAGGCUUUGACGGGUAGCCGGCCUGAGAGGGUGACCGGCCACAUUGGGACUGAGAGACGGCCCAGACUCCUACGGGAGGCAGCAGUGGGGAAUAUUGCACAAUGGGCGGAAGCCUGAUGCAGCAACGCCGCGUGCGGGAUGACGGCCUUCGGGUUGUAAACCGCUUUCGCCUGUGACGAAGCGUGAGUGACGGUAAUGGGUAAAGAAGCACCGGCUAACUACGUG
rnacentral:rRNA from 1 species